UCUUGCACACCUAACUGCCUCCAAAAAUUGGAAAGGGAAAAGUAAAAGGGCACAGGGCAAAUGUGCUUUUGGAAUAGGAAGCAUACUCAGGCACGGAGUGGGGGAAAAAAAAAAAAAACACCUGACAAUUCUAUGCUCUAUCCACAGGGAGCCAGAAGGAGGUGGUUCUUAAGUAAGCCUCUCUCUUCAGUCCCUUCUCUCUGUCACUGGUAAUGAAACUGCUCUCCACAGACAGAAGAGAAAUGGAGGGUGGUCAUGUACACAGAGCACCUCUGACAUUAGUCUUUAUGAGGAAGAGCAUCCAGAAAGAGAUAAUACUGCAAGAGGACAGGCAGAGGCCAGCCACUAUAUAGACCCUGACAAUGAUUUGGAAGUGAACUUGGUAGGACCAGUGUGCUGUGGAAAGUGUCCUAAAUCCUGGCCUACUUCUUCCUCACACCCCCUGGACUGAGACAGUAUAGGAAAAAGGAGGAGCCUGGGGAGCCUGCUUCCAAGAGAAUCAUGAUGACAUGUCAUGGAAGGACCUUGAAGAAACUUUAGAACGUGCAUAGACAUCCUGUAACUGGUUCUGGCAUGCUAACCACAUGGUGAAGAGCCGCGUCUUUGAUUGGCAGUGGCUGUAGAAAUAGUGUUGGAAGUACCUUCUAAAGACCUUCUUUGCCUUCUGUGUCUGCUGGGUUGGAUCUCUAUCUAUUUUUGGUUUGAUUCCUUCACUCACAGCAUCUACUGAAGUCUUCAGCCCUCUCCUGAGGCGAGCUAACAAGUGACUCCAUGAAAACUGGCUUCGGCUCUGUGCUUCCUCCUUUGUUCUUUGAUUUUAGGUGAAAAAGGUUAGUCUGUAGGCUUCGACUUGAUGAGUAUCAGAAGAAAUGAAGAAGAUUGAGCCUCCUGGAGCCCUUGGAGUUCUGAAAUCCCGGGAGUCUGGAUCCAUGCUGGGUUUUGCAAGCAUCCAGCGUUAGUGCCCCAAGCACCAAGCAGUAACCUUCAGGGUCACCAGCAGUAACCAGCAGUAGUUGAGGAAAAUCAGACAUCUAUGCUACCUUUGGACAUGAAUUUGGCGGGACCAGAGUUAUAUUGAAACUGUGCCAAGUCUGAACCCUUGGAGAGCACAGAGAAUAUGUCCCCAAUAUGUUUGUAGGUGGCAGGGGAGAGGAAUGGUUGUACUUUCAUUAUUUUGGUAUCUUCAAAAUAAAUAUCACUUUGUAAAAGCUUAUGAAGUAGUUUUUAAUGAGACUGGAAUGUUAGUCCCUGGUACCUCAGUGGACAGAAGAGAAUGUGCUGACAGAACUAGAAAAGAAACAUCUCCAACCAGGUGUGAGUUAGAACCAAUUCAUGCAGGCAUGGGAGAGCUGGUUGUUAAAUUUUCAGUGUGAUCUACUACA